rnacentral:rRNA from 1 species
GUGGGGAAUAUUCCGCAAUGGACGAAAGUCUGACGGAGCAACGCCGCGUGAGUGAUGAAGGUUUUCGGACUGUAAAGCUCUGUUGUUUAGGACGAAAGUGCCUGUUGCAAAUAGUUACAGGUAUUGACGGUACUGAACGAGGAAGCCACGGCUAACUACGUGCCAGCAGCCGCGGUAAUACGUAGGUGGCAAGCGUUGUCCGGAAUUAUUGGGCGUAAAGAGCAUGUAGGCGGGAAUCUAAGUCUGUUGUGAAAAUGCGGGGCUCAACCCCGUAUUGCGAUGGAAACUGGGUGUCUUGAGUGCAGGAGAGGAAAGAGGAAUACCCAGUGUAGCGGUGAAAUGCGUAGAUAUUGGGAGGAACACCAGUGGCGAAGGCGCCUAUCUGGACUGUGUCUGACGCUGAGAUGCGAAAGCCAGGGUAGCGAACGGGAUUAGAUACCCGGGUAGUCC